CACCGCGGUUAUACGAGAGGCUCAAGCUGACAGACCCUCGGCGUAAAGUGUGGUUAAAAUUACACCAAAAUUAAGGCCAAAUGCAAUCAAAGCUGUUAUACGCAAUCGUUUGCUAGAAGCCCUUUCACGAAAGUAGCCUUAUUUUAUUGAAUCCACGAAAGCUAAGAUA
rnacentral:rRNA from 1 species